CGAACGUUAGCGGCGGGCUUAACACAUGCAAGUCGAACGAGAACGGUUUCCUUCGGGAAGCUUAGUAAAGUGGCGCACGGGUGAGUAACACGUGGAUAAUCUACCCUUCGGCGGGGGACAACCACUGGAAACGGUGGCUAAUACCGCGUACGACAUGCCUGACCUCGGUCGGGUUUGAGAAAGGCUUCGGCCACCGAAGGAUGAGUCCGCGUCCCAUCAGCUUGUUGGUAGGGUAAAAGCCUACCAAGGCUAAGACGGGUAGCUGGUCUGAGAGGAUGAUCAGCCACACUGGGACUGAGACACGGCCCAGACUCCUACGGGAGGCAGCAGUGGGGAAUAUUGGACAAUGGGCGAAAGCCUGAUCCAGCCACGCCGCGUGUGUGAUGAAGGCCCUCGGGUCGUAAAGCACUGUGGGGAAGGAAGAAGUUCUGACGGUACUUCCUUAGCAAGCACCGGCUAACUCC
rnacentral:rRNA from 1 species